AUUGAACGCUGGCGGCGUGCCUAACACAUGCAAGUCGAGCGGUAACAGGUGUAGCAAUACAUGCUGACGAGCGGCGGACGGGUGAGCAAUAUUUGGGAAUCUGCCUAUUAGUGGGGGAUAACCCGGGAAACUCGGGCUAAUACCGCAUACGCUCUACGGAGGAAAGCCGGGGACCGCAAGGCCUGGCGCUAGUAGAUGAGCCCAAAUCGGAUUAGCUAGUUGGUGAGGAACGGCUCACCAAGGCGACGAUCCGUAGCUGGUUUGAGAGAACGACCAGCCACACCGGAACUGAGACACGGUCCGGACUCCUACGGGAGGCAGCAGUGGGGAAUAUUGGACAAUGGGCGAAAGCCUGAUUCAGCGACGCCGCGUGGGUGAAGAAGGCCUGCGGGUUGUAAAGCCCUUUCGGUUGGGAAGAAAAGUAUUGGCCUAAUACGCUAGUACCUUGACGUAACCAACAAAAGAAGCACCGGCUAACUCUGUGACAGCCGCCGCAGU
rnacentral:rRNA from 1 species